rnacentral:pre_miRNA from 1 species
GGCCCGAACUGGGAGUAGUGUAGAUAGGUGUGAUUGGCUGACCCUACUAAACUACUCUACUUCAGGUUUGUGCCU